rnacentral:lncRNA from 1 species
AAAUCAAAGCACUCAAGAAAGCAAACACAACAGACUUGGCAAGCCUCUAAUAUCAACACUAAAAAACAUAUGCAUGUUCAAAUCAAAAAGGUCUUUUAUGGGUGAAAUGAGGCCAAGGACAAGGGAGGAUAUAAUAUGGAUGAGAAGUUACAAACCAAAAGGAAUAGAGGAGCAAUGGAGAACAAGUGAAAACACAGUCAAAUC